rnacentral:rRNA from 1 species
GACGAACGCUGGCGGCGUGCCUAAUACAUGCAGGUUGAGCGCUGAAGGUUGGUACUUGUACCAACUGGAUGAGCAGCGAACGGGUGAGUAACGCGUGGGGAAUCUGCCUUUGAGCGGGGGACAACAUUUGGAAACGAAUGCUAAUACCGCAUAAAAACUUUAAACACAAGUUUUAAGUUUGAAAGAUGCAAUUACAUCACUCAAAGAUGAUCCCGCGUUGUAUUAGCUAGUUGGUGAGGUAAAGGCUCACCAAGGCGAUGAUACAUAGCCGACCUGAGAGGGUGAUCGGCCACCUUGGGACUGAGACACGGCCCAAACUCCUACGGGAGGCAGCAGUAGGGAAUCUUCGGCAAUGGACGAAAGUCUGACCGAGCAACGCCGCGUGAGUGAAGAAGGUUUUCGGAUCGUAAAACUCUGUUGGUAGAGAAGAACGUUGGUGAGAGUGGAAAGCUCAUCAAGUGACGGUAACUACCCAGAAAGGGACGGCUAACUACGUG